ACGGCGUUAGUCGAAGCGCAUGGGAAGGCGCACCACAGCGGGUAACAGUCCCGUAGACGAAAACGACCGUACCUCCCGAGUGGGAUCCCAAGUAGCACGGAGCCCGUGAAAUUCCGUGUGAAUCUGGGGGGACCACCCCCUAAGCCUGAAUACUCCCUGGUGACCGAUAGCGGACUAGUACCGUGAGGGAAAGGUGAAAAGUACCCCGGGAGGGGAGUGAAAUAGUACCUGAAACCGUGCGCCUACAAUCCGUCAGAGCCUGGGUUGCCCUUGUGGUGGCCUGGUGAUGGCGUGCCUUUUGAAGAAUGAGCCUGCGAGUUAGCGGUGUGUGGCGAGGUUAACCCGUGUGGGGUAGCCGUAGCGAAAGCGAGUCCUAAUAGGGCGAUCAUAGUCGCACGCUCUAGACCCGAAGCGGAGUG
rnacentral:rRNA from 1 species